rnacentral:lncRNA from 1 species
AAGAGGAGAAAUCUCGCACACCAAAGUGCCACACUAUUACUGUUGACUAGUCCCAUGUGUCAUUGUUAAUUAGAAGUUCUUAUGAAUGAAACAUAACACUUUUACAAAAUCUGGAUCAAGUAAAGAGAUCUACUAGAAUUUGUUAUACUAAGCAUUUGUGACUACAACUUGACCAUGAACAACUAUGGUUGUGGCUUCUGUUUUCUUUAUAUGUCCUUGUAUAGUUGCCAUAUAUAGACUAUAUAGAAACAUAAGAAUCUUAGCAGGUGGUUGACCAAUUCUUACAUGAGUGGGUUUAGAUGAAAUGUAGUUCUUGCAUUUGUCUACAAUGCCUUUUUUUUACAAAGACGAUGCAUUUAUUAAACUUAACAAAUGCAAGACACACAUGACCAACUAACCUCAAAAGCGGAUUGUUUGGAUUACAUGAUUGCUUCCCUCUGCUACAACAAUCCUUUUGGUCAUGUCCAGUAGCGGAUGCAGAAACUUUUUAUUGGUGUGGCAGAGGUUACUAGUAUACAUAGGUUGACUUAAAUUUUUAAUUAAGUACUGUAUAAACCUAGUAUACAUGGCAUAUGUUAGGUGUGGCAGCAGCCAAACCUUGCCAGAUUGCUGGCUUCGCCACUGGUCAUGUCGCUCUGAGAGAUCUAUAGUUAGCAUUCAUCAAGUCAACAUAUACCAAGAUUUCAUUGAUACUCCCUUUGUUUUUGACUUUGAUUGACAGCCACUAAAUGAUGCACCAGCAGGACCCAACUAAUUGACUUAUUACUGGUUAGAGAACACGAAGAAAAUAACCAAUGUGGUAGAGUAGGAGGGAGAGGCACAUGAGCCAUAUCGUGUAACAAUCUUUGUUAUCCGUCGAUCAUCGAUAGUUCCUGGUGCCUCAUAUGCCUACACCUUUCAUCUCCCAAUCCCUAGUUUGUAGCUACCAUCAGUAGUUCAUGGUGCCUCAAAUCAGACGUGUGCAGAUAUGAAACAAAUAAUGCACGUAAUGUAAAUGAACAGUUCCACUAUAAGGAAAUGAGAUGAUGAACAAGCUAUUCAUGAUUGGCUUAGGGAAGGCUCGCUUUUUAUAGAAGACUUGGGCAC